UGUGAAUACUUUCUGAAGGCACUGUAAAUGGAACUCUACCACCCCAGGUAACUCAAGCUAGCAAUAAAACCAGAUUCAAAAAUCAGAUAAAAGAACACCUUAUUGCACGACAUGGACUGUGAAGAGACAUACAGAAAUGUGUAUGCAUUUUGUAUUGUAUUUUGCAUUGGAUUAUGUAUGCGAUACGUGGUUGGGAUUCGACUGGUGUUUUUUUCGCCUGGCAUGAAUGCACUAGCUCUGGGUAUCUCUGGAUCGGAGCGUCUGCUGAAUGCCUAAAUUGCAAUGUAAAUGUAGUCCUAUUUAUGUUGAUGUAUUUUAUUUGUUAAGUUUCCUGUUUGGACCACAAACAGCAGCUAAUUGGGGAUCCUAAUAAAUAUGGAAUACAAAAAUCUAGUCUAGGCUGCAGAAUGAUUUUGAAAUUGGUAGGACUAUGUUUCUCUUGUCCAUAAAAAUACUCAAAUACUCAUAUUAGCCUACCUUGUAAAAAAAAAAAAAUACGUAUAUUAUAGCCGUAUCAAGUGUAGGCUAUUGUUAUGUCAUCUUGAUCAUCUGGGUAAGCGCAUUUGCGACAUUCUUUCUUCCAUUAGGCUACUUUCUGACAGUUUCAUACUGUAAAAAAAAAAAGUGACAGGAUUUCACUUAGUAACUAUAGUAUAGCCUGCCUUAAGCUAAAUCAGGACAAAACUGUUGCUGACUUUGUGGGAAAGAAAAGCAUGUCUUCGCCUGUUUGGCAAUUCUUCAGUUUCAAAGGAUGGACAGACUACAAAGCUCCGUGAACAUUUACAUCCUAUGGAAUUCGCUACUCUGGUGCAGAAAAGGAAGGCGUGGCCAGCAGCCAGCCAGCGUGGAGCAGGACCAGAGAGAAGACAACCAGUGCAACCUAAGACAGAUAGUCCCAGCUGAUCUGUCCCGUCAGAGACCCCGAGAACAUCACACAGGUAUGGAUACUUCUCUUUCAAACAUCCAAAUGUUAAAUGUCAGUCACAUGAAUUCAUUGGGGAAGUACAGGUUUGGAGAACUUCUCAAUGGCUAAUAGGUUUUGGUUCAGGUCUUGUUAGUGUGUUACAGUUGCCUGGCUGUCAAUUCACAAAUGCACGUGAGAAAAGUGUCCCAGCUGAUCUGUUACAUUGGUGUGGUUCAAAGACAUUUUCUCCUAUCAAUAAUCAUUGGGAAACAGUGCAGACCGACCGUCCACUACAGCUGUUCUGAUCUUGCUUCUUCUUAAUGUCUUUUGGAAGUUAAUCAGUACUGUAGCGAUGUGAUGCGACUAUACUGUAUGACUAACUGCUUGAUUACAAUCAGUUAGUUUAUCACACAAGUAAGAAAACACAGAUGUACUACACAAGCUCACAUACACACACACAGACUGGUUACAC